rnacentral:misc_RNA from 1 species
AGUGUUCAUCAACUUCUUCGCGGAGGCGCACAAUCAACUCCAUCACGUACACACACAUAUACACGUUCACGUGUACAUGUAUACACAAACGUAUUCUCCCAGCAGAAGCAGCAGCAGCGGCCCACAAUAACGUCCCGUCGAUCACGCUCGCCGGUCGUCCACGCAAUAAUAAAAUAUUACUCUGCCACUGCUGCGCGCGCGUGUGUGUGUGUGUGUGUGUGCGUGUGCUCAUCGUCGCCGCCGCCACCACCGUUGUCGUCGUUGUCGCGUCGUCGUCGUCGUCGCCGUCGUCGUCCGUCGUCGCGGUCGUCUCGCUGGACUUUACUCGCUCGACGUCAUCCCACCACUACACAUCAUCAUCCGUAACCACUACCGCCACACACAAUCGUCUCCGCUGCCGCCGCCACCGCCAAAACAACCACCACCACCACCACCGUCACCUCCACCGCCACAUCCACACCGCAACCACCACCGUCGCCACUACCGCCACCACAUUAGAUCCUCCACUGCCGUGUAAUAACCGUCAUCACACCACCAUCACACCGCUGCUUGUACCUAUCCUCUCGAAUACCCGUUGGAUGGCUAGCGGCCGCCAAACGUAACGGCAGCCGACAUUAUUGUUCCCGCCAGACCACUGUAGAGGAUAAUACCUACUACGCGACCCAUCCGGUUCCAGGUCGUUUAGGAUAAGACCGCUGCCACCAUCUCCACCACCACGCGAACCUCAUCCACAAUCAUCGCCACCGACACCGGAACCGCAAUCACUCGGUAGAUCAACUACUGCAGCAUCACUUAUAGCGUACACGCAAUCGGACGCUUACAAAACCAACAGUCAAUCAAAGUAACUCGAAUAAUCAAGGAUUACAGGGAUUUCAACGAAAGGACCAAAUGGACGCCAAAUCGAAAGAUGACUCCAAUAUCAGCCUUACAUUACGGCUAAUAAUGCAAGGAAAGGAAGUUGGUAGUAUAAUAGGAAAAAAAGGAGAAAUUGUUAAGCGGUUCAGAGAAGAGUCUGGUGCCAAAAUCAAUAUAUCUGAUGGUUCUUGUCCAGAGAGAAUAGUUACCAUAUCAGGAUCUACUGAAGCCAUCUAUAAAGCAUUUUCUUUAAUAUGCACAAAAGUUGAAGAGUUUAUUGAAAUGCAAAAUGGCAAAACUGGUGCAACAGCGAUCGGGAAAUGUGGUAUGACCCUUCGGCUGAUUGUUCCAGCAUCUCAGUGUGGAUCUUUAAUUGGAAAGGGUGGUAAUAAAAUCAAAGAAAUUAGAGAAGCUACAGGAGCACAGAUACAAGUGGCUUCAGAUGUACUUCCUCAAUCUACAGAGAGAGCGGUUACAUUAACUGGUACGAGAGAUUCAAUAACGCAGUGUAUAUUUCACAUUUGCGCAGUUAUGGUGGAAUCACCUCCUAAAGGCGUUACAAUACCGUAUCGUGCUAAACCUCAGAUGGGUGCACCAGUCAUUCUAGCCGGAGGACAAGCAUUUACUCUAGCAAGUGCAGGAUCUGCGGCGGGUUGUGAUGUAGGCACCAUGAUGGUAGGUGGUGGCCCAUACAACGCUCCAAUGCUUAUGGUUCCUCCAUCGCCUGGUGCAGCAGCAAGUCUAGGUUUAAUUGAUCCGCUGGACUAUCCCCUGCUUAAAAAUGCAUUUGGACCUUCACAAUUGGGGAAAUUGACUGGGAAUCCGUUAGCUGGUCUUGCGGCACUUGGACUUGGAAGCUUGGGAGGACCCGCAAACUCAUUUAAUCCAGCUGCAUUGGCGGCAUUAGCUGGUAGCCAGUUGAGAUCUAAUGGUUCUGGUGCCAAUAUUAACAGUAGAUCUGGAGGCGGUCAACAAACUCAUGAAAUGACUGUACCAAAUGACUUAAUUGGGUGCAUCAUUGGCAAGGGAGGUACUAAAAUCGCUGAAAUUAGGCAAAUCAGCGGAGCAAUGAUACGGAUCUCAAACUGCGAAGACCGCGAAGGAAGUGCCAGCACGGAUAGGACCAUAACGAUAACUGGAAAUCCUGACUCAGUGGCUUUAGCUCAGUACUUAAUCAACAUGAGCUUGGACAUACAACGCGCAUCGAUGUUGCAAUCGGAAAUCCAACACCACCACCAUCAUCACCUCCUUCACCAACAACAACAUCACCAACAGCAGCAACAGCAGCAGCAGCAGCAGCAACAGCAACAACAACAGCAACAGCUAGUAUUGCCGCCGCACCAGUACCCGUUCCCUGUUCACCACAUGCUCGUCACAUGCAACACCACGAACACCACCACCACCUCGGCCACGAACGUCCACCAGACCGCCAACCCAUUGCCAGCCACCCACCCACACCACCAACAGCAGUACACGACCGCCGCUGACAUAUUACCCGUCCAGCACCAUUUCCACGGCCCCGCGGUAGCCGCACUGCUAUCCCCUCAGCCGGCCGUCGCCAAACACAAAACCGACCGCAUCAAGUUCACGCCGUACUGAUAUUAUAAAAUUAAAAUAUAUACAAACAAACCUAUUUCUAACCACGGUUGCCGGUAUAUUAUGUAUUAUAACAUAUCAUAGUACACAGUAUAAAAUAUAUAGUAUAUAUCGUAACAAUAUAAUAUUCUAUAGUAACUUUUAUCCGCCAACCACAGCUACCGUCGAAAAAUUGUACCUUCACGAUAAUUUGAUUCUAAUUACGUGGACCCAUCGACGCCCACCGCGAACCACUGCACACUUAAAAAACGUUUAAACUAUUGAGUCAGUCCGAAAAUAAUGCACUAAACGAUUGCGACAACGGCAGUCAAUCACGUCACUUCAAAAAUCCCAUAACAUACUAAUCGGUUCUGAAAUCGGAUUCCUUUGGAACCCAUCUGAAACUGAAAAAAAUCAUAAUAUGAUAUCUAGUCUCUGUUUUGUAAUCAAUUUAUAUUGUAUAUUGAUGUGAAGGGGUGGACGGGGCCAGUUUCAAGAUACAAACGAUAUACUGUCUGAUGUUGUAUGGACUAUGGGUAUUUAUAUAUGCGCUGAGUAAAACAGGUGUUUACAGAUGCUUUGUCACUUGCGUAUCGUAUAGUUGCAUAUUAUAGAAAGAUAUGAAGAUAUCACGACCAUUGAUACGACUACUGGGAAGGAUGGUAGAGCGAUUAUCCCCCGAACAUAGAUUUAUUUUCAACAUUUUUUUUUACAUUUCUCAAAAACUUGAUGUACAAUUGUCUGUAUAAAGUAUACAGUUAAUUUUAUUAUUAAAUUAUUGUCAGCUUUUUUAAAAAUUUAACUACAUUCAACUAUGUUACAGAAAAGGUUUGAAAAUGUUACAAUCAUAGUAUGUGUGUAUGUGUGUGUGUGUGUGUGUGUGUGUGUGUGUGUGUGUGUGUGUGUGUGUGUGUGUGUGUGUGUGUGUGUGUGUGUGUGUGCUUGUUAAUUAUUUUCAUGAAAAUGGAGUGCUCAUGGGGGAAGGGAUGAUUGAAAUUCGUUGCUACGUUAUAUUUAUUAGUCAUUUUUCAAUUAUUAAAAUUUCUUUAUUAAUCAUAAAUAUUUCUAUUUAAUUUAAUUUGUUAUUAUAUUCAAAAUGUUAAGUGCCUUAUACUCAGUCGUUCAUUAAAGCGUAUUAAUUUUGUAUAAACAAUUACAGACCAAAUUUUUAACCAUACAAAUAUUUUGU